rnacentral:rRNA from 1 species
CACGUGGGAAACCUGCCCAGAAGCGGGGGAUAACACCUGGAAACAGAUGCUAAUACCGCAUAACAACUUGGACCGCAUGGUCCGAGUUUGAAAGAUGGCUUCGGCUAUCACUUUUGGAUGGUCCCGCGGCGUAUUAGCUAGAUGGUGAGGUAACGGCUCACCAUGGCAAUGAUACGUAGCCGACCUGAGAGGGUAAUCGGCCACAUUGGGACUGAGACACGGCCCAAACUCCUACGGGAGGCAGCAGUAGGGAAUCUUCCACAAUGGACGAAAGUCUGAUGGAGCAACGCCGCGUGAGUGAAGAAGGGUUUCGGCUCGUAAAACUCUGUUGUUAAAGAAGAACAUAUCUGAGAGUAACUGUUCAGGUAUUGACGGUAUUUAACCAGAAAGCCACGGCUAACUACGUGCCAGCAGCCGCGGUAAUACGUAGGUGGCAAGCGUUGUCCGGAUUUAUUGGGCGUAAAGCGAGCGCAGGCGGUUUUUUAAGUCUGAUGUGAAAGCCUUCGGCUCAACCGAAGAAGUGCAUCGGAAACUGGGAAACUUGAGUGCAGAAGAGGACAGUGGAACUCCAUGUGUAGCGGUGAAAUGCGUAGAUAUAUGGAAGAACACCAGUGGCGAAGGCGGCUGUCUGGUCUGUAACUGACGCUGAGGCUCGAAAGUAUGGGUAGCAAACAGGAUUAGAUACCCUGGUAGUCCAUACCGUAAACGAUGAAUGCUAAGUGUUGGAAGGGUUUCCGCCCUUCAGUGCUGCAGCUAACGCAUUAAGCAUUCCGCCUGGGGGAGUACGGCCGCAAGGCUGAAACUCAAAGGAAUUGACGGGGGCCCGCACAAGCGGUGGAGCAUGUGGUUUAAUUCGAAGCUACGCGAAGAACCUUACCAGGUCUUGACAUACUAUGCAAAUCUAAGAAGAUUAGACGUUCCCUUCGGGGACAUGGAUACAGGUGGUUGCAUGGGUUGUCGUCAGCUCUUGUCCUGGAAAGGUUUGGGUUAAGUCCCGCAACCAAGCGCAACCCUUAUUAUCAAUUGCCAGCAUUAAAUUUGGGCACUCUUUUGGAGACUGCCCGUGACAAACCGAAGAAAAGGGGGGGGGAAGGAAGGCCCAAACCACCAUCGCCCCCUUAUAACCCGGGGGUCACAACCCUGCUUCCAAAGGGAAGGGGACACCCAAGUUUGGGAACUCCCCCAAGGGAAACCAAAUCCUUUAAAACCCAUCUUCCAUUUUCCUAAUUUGAAGGGCGCCAACCCCCCCCCUCCUGAAAAUCGGGAAACCCUUUUUAAUUCCCGAGAAAACAUACG